UUAAUUGAAACCAAAUAGAGGUAAAUCAUUGUUAAUGAUUAAAUUGAAUCAAAUUAUUCCAAUUAAG
rnacentral:tRNA from 1 species